rnacentral:lncRNA from 1 species
AGGGGGUCACUUCCGAAAAACCACUGAUAACAUAUUUAUUUGGGCACAAGGAUGUCUGGAGGAAGUAAAAAGCACAGAGGACACCUUAGAGUACUUGUGUCUCCCUUUCCUUUAGAACCCUGUCAAGGGAAGGGGCUGAUUCUUGGCACCUAGCCCAAAAAAGCAAUACCAGGCCACACUCGAACGAUACAAGGUGCUUGAUUAACUUCGCUGUUACCACCAACCCCAGAAAACCACUAGUAUCUUAUAAAAUGAUAAGAGCAAAGCUAAGCAGUUAAAAACUCAGGUUGACUAAUAUAUUUUGAAUGUUCAAAUGCGUGCACUCAUAGCCAGCAGCACAAGGUCCCGAGCCCCCUGACACCUGGUGAUGUUAAAUCCCGUCAAAUUGGCAAUUAAGAUAAACCAUUACAAGACUUCAUGAAAUUAAGCCUCUGAGAGACAGGAGAAACAAGUGAAAAGCUCCAGCUCCUGCUCCGGCUCAUGCUUCUCUCUGUCUUCUACUUAUGGUUCCAGAUGGGGCUUCAGCUACUUCUUCAGCAUCAUGCCUGCCUGCCUGCCUUCCUCCCAUCGUGUUCCCCACCAUGAUGAAAACAGAUUUGUCUUUGAAACUUGUCCCCAAUUAAAUGCUUUACAAUAU